CAGCAGCCGCGGUAAUACGGAGGGUGCAAGCGUUAAUCGGAAUUACUGGGCGUAAAGCGCACGCAGGCGGUCUGACAAGUCAGAUGUGAAAUCCCCGGGCUUAACCUGGGAACUGCAUUGGAAACUGUCAGGCUGGAGUCUUGUAGAGGGGGGUAGAAUUCCAGGUGUAGCGGUGAAAUGCGUAGAGAUCUGGAGGAAUACCGGUGGCGAAGGCGGCCCCCUGGACAAAGACUGACGCUCAGGUGCGAAAGCGUGGGGAGCAAACAGGAUUAGAUACCCCGGUAGUCCCUGUCUCUUAUAC
rnacentral:rRNA from 1 species